AAUCCAGUCUGGCCUGAGCAUUUUGCUCCGGCACCUGUGCGUGGAAAACAGCUGAGCCCAGGAGGUUCCAGACCCUGGAUACCUGAGACACAUCGACUUGCUUCUUAGGUUUGGAGUGCAUAAUGAGGAGAAAUAAAAAUAGAAAGAUCUCCAGAAAGAAGCCAUGGGAAGAUUCAAGGCUUCCCAGUCCAAGCUAAUACCUGUGGACACUUGACCAAGUGAGCUGAGAAAACUGGAUUCCUGGCAAAACAAGCGUAACUAGACUCAGGCAAGGGUGGAGCACAGAGGGCAACUAGAUGAAAUGAAAAGAAUGCCCAGGCAUCCCAGUGCCCCCAUUGAUGUUCCAGAACUUCGUCCGUUCAGAAUCAAGCUCAGAAGCUCCCAGCUCCCAGCAAGUACUCUACUACUGAACUACACCAUCUCUCCAGCCCAUGCUUACUCUUGAAUAGCCACAAAGUAUUCAAUGGUGUGGGCCUUGAAAGGAACUACCUGCUCUGCCCCCUGACUGCUUCUGCCUCUACCUCAAUGUACCGAGACUGUUUGACAAGUUUGCUCUGGCUCAGGCUGAGAAAUUGACUCCACUCUUACCCUGACCCCUGGCAUGUCCACAUCUGGUCCUGUGUAGUCACCAACCCCAGAGAACAAGUUACAAGAAAUUAAAGACACAGAAUUCCAAAGGAAAAUACAUGUUCAACAAGCUCAAAACAUCCAGAGAGGGCACAGAUAGCUACAUGAAUGAAAUUAAAGACAACAGGAAUAAAAUGAUGGGAGUCCAAGUAUACAAAAACACAGCUCAGCAAAACAUGGAACAGUAAGACUAUAAAUUCUCAUUCCAGCUAUCUAUAAUUUAGGAUCCUUUGUAGGGCUAUUUGGUACUGGACAGUCAAUUGGAGUGUUGUUUGCUGGGGAGGACCACCUCUCCAGGUAAAAUCUAAACAUCAAGAAAAUCAACAACCCAAUUAAAAUAAUCUAGAGCACUAAACAGAGCGUUCUCAAAAGAAGCACUAUAAAUGGCUAAGAAACACAAGAUCCUUUGUCAUCAGGGAAACACAGAAUCUCACUUUUCAGUUUUCAUCUUACUGUAGUCAGAAUGGUUAUCAUCAAGAAUGCCAGCGACAUGGAUGUAGAGGACAGAUUUCUUCAUUGUCUAAGUCUCAGGAAAUAUUGCAGAAGAGGAGUCAGGGACUAAAAGAUAUAAGAUAGGAAGGGCUGCAAAGUUCCAUCCUAGAGACUCAAUACAGCCAUUGCAAUGAUGAACUCACAAAAACUGCAUUUCCCUGAGCUUAGCCUGCUCAAGACAUUGAAAGUAUUUCUAAGUAGCUUUUCAUGUUGUGAAUGUACCUGUCAGCUGUUGAAGCAGUCUGGUUUCUGGUUCAGAGCUCUUAGGGACAGAGUUGUCUUGAACAUUUGCUUAAACAGGCUUUUGUGUAGACAUCAGCUGCUUUUUUUUAAAUCUCUGAAAUAAAUGCCUAGGCGUUCAAUGGCAAUGUUAUAUCAGUAUGUAUUUAGCUUAGUUUUAAAAUGAGAAACUGUCAAAUACUUUUGCAGAAUUACUGGACCAUUUUACAUCCCUGCCAACAAUGUAAGAUUGAUCCAGCUCCCCACAUUCUCAUAAACAUUUGUUUUUGUUCCUUUAAAAAUAUAUAUAGGAAAAAAAAAAAAAGAAAACAAGUUAACCAUUCCAUUUAUUGAGAAUUCACUUACCAUUCAGUGGAUUGCUUAGAUAUGUAGGAUUCAGUUUUUAGUACACAUACAAGGUUGUAUAUCAAUUACUACUAAUUUCAGAACAUUUUCCAUUACCAUAGAAAAAGAAACCCAAUAUUCAUUCUCAUCUCUCCUCUAUGGAUUUACCUACUCUAGAUAUACCAAAUAAAUGGAAUUUUU
ensembl:processed_transcript